rnacentral:rRNA from 1 species
AGUCGAGCGGUAACAGGGGGUGCUUGCACCCUGCUGACGAGCGGCGGACGGGUGAGUAAUGCAUAGGAAACUGCCCAGUAGUGGGGGAUAGCCCGGGGAAACCCGGAUUAAUACCGCGUACGCCCUUCGGGGGAAAGCAGGGGAUCUUCGGACCUUGCGCUAUUGGAUGUGCCUAUGUCGGAUUAGCUAGUUGGUGGGGUAAAGGCCUACCAAGGCGACGAUCCGUAGCUGGUCUGAGAGGAUGAUCAGCCACAUCGGGACUGAGACACGGCCCGAACUCCUACGGGAGGCAGCAGUGGGGAAUAUUGGACAAUGGGGGCAACCCUGAUCCAGCCAUGCCGCGUGUGUGAAGAAGGCUUUCGGGUUGUAAAGCACUUUCAGUGAGGAGGAAAAGUUGGUCGUUAAUACCGGCCAGCCUUGACGUUACUCACAGAAGAAGCACCGGCUAACUCCGUGCCAGCAGCCGCGGUAAUACGGAGGGUGCAAGCGUUAAUCGGAAUUACUGGGCGUAAAGCGCGCGUAGGUGGUUUGAUAAGCGAGAUGUGAAAGCCCCGGGCUUAACCUGGGAACGGCAUUUCGAACUGUCAGGCUAGAGUAUGGUAGAGGAGUGUGGAAUUUCCUGUGUAGCGGUGAAAUGCGUAGAUAUAGGAAGGAACACCAGUGGCGGAAGGCGGCACUCUGGUAUCAAUACUGACACUGAGGUGCGAAAG